rnacentral:rRNA from 1 species
AUGGAGUUCCCGCACGGCCACGGCCACGGCCACGGCCGCCGCGACGACGACGACGAAGACCGCCGCGCCCCCGCCCCCUACGGCCGCCACGAGCCUGAUGCCUACGGCGCCCCUCCCCCGUCCUACGGCCGCCGCCCCGACGACGACGCUGGUGAUGCCUACGGCCGCCACCCUCCCGCCGCCUACGGCGCUCCUCCCCCGGCCUACGGUGCCCCGCCUCCCGCCUACGGGGGCGGCCGCGAGGAUGAGUACGGAGGACGCGCUCCGGCCUAUGGCGCCCCGGCCCCGGCCUACGGCGGAGGCCGCGAGGACGACUACGGACGCCACGCGCCCGCCCCGGCCGGCUACGGCGGUGGUGACUACGGGCGCCACGCCCCUGCUCCGGCCUACGGAGGCGGCCGCGACGAGGGCUACGGCGCACCCGCGUACGGCAACGUGGUGCACGUUUCCCACGAGUCCGGCGACGAGAGGCCGCAGUACGGGGGCGGCGGAUCCGGGGGCUACGGCCACGAGACGCGCCCGCACCACGGCGGCGGCGGGGGGGCGCCCCCGGCUUCCAGGCAGCCGACGUACAGGAUCCUCUGCAAGGCCGGCGAGGACAGCUUCAGCCUCGCCGCCAGGGACGGCAAGGUCUGCCUCGUCCGCACCGAUCGCGACGACGACACGCAGCACUGGAUCAAGGACAUGAAGUACAGCACGAGGGUGAAGGAUGAGGAAGGCUACCCUGCCAUGGCACUCGUCAACAAGGCCAGCGGAGAGGCUCUCAAGCACUCCCUCGGCCAAUCCCACCCUGUUCUUCUGACCAGGUACAAUCCAGACACCCUGGACGAAUCGGUCCUUUGGACCGAGAGCAGGGACGUCGGGGCAGGCUACCGCUGCAUCAGGAUGGUGAACAACAUCUACUUGAACUUUGAUGCGCUCCAUGGCGACAAGGACCAUGGCGGUGUGCGCAAUGGAACCACCCUCAUUCUGUGGGAGUGGACUGAGGGCGACAACCAGCGCUGGAAGAUCGUUGCCUGGUGUAAGUUCUAUUCUAUCUCCUGCGCUUGCCGUUGCUCCAGUUCAGUUUCACUCGAACAGUUUGAUUAG